rnacentral:rRNA from 1 species
CAAGAGCGUAUAUUAAAGUUGUUGCAGUUAAAAAGCUCGUAGUUGGAUUUCUGGUACAACGCGCCUGGCCCGCUUUAUGUGAGUGCUGGUGCGCGUUUGCCAUCCUUCUAGAAAACGUUUCUACCCUGGCAACGGGGCCGGACUCGCGAUCUAGAUCUUUUACUUUGAAAAAUUAGAGUGUUUAAAGCAGGCUUUUGCUGUGAAUACAUUAGCAUGGAAUAAUAAUCUAGGACUUCGGUUCUAUUUUGUUUGGUUUCUUAGUACUGAAGUAAUGAUUGAUAGGGAUAGUUGGGGGUCGAUUCGUAUUUAACUUAGUCAGAGGUGAAAUUACUUGGAUUUGUUAAAGACGGACUACUGCGAAAGACAUUUGUCCAAGGAUGUUUUCUAUUGAUCAAGAACGAAAGUU